UGCUAGGGCGUGUUUUCGGUCAUUUGCAACUGCACAGACUUAAAGGAAGAAGGGGAAAUACUUUGCCAGGUGUCCGUGGAGAGGUAGUCUGUUGCAUCAACUAUCGAACAACACUGUUAAAUUCACGUCAAGAAGUCUGAAUUUUUAUCAUUUGAAUUAUACUUGCAAUUCGAUUGAAAUGAAUUUGAACCGCUAUCUUGCUGGAGUUUGCUGACCCAUGCCGAGGGAAGAUGCGUUAAUGUUCGAAGCAUGCAUGGUUUAAAUGAGGUCCAUACGAGGAACGUUUUUCAUAAUGUCGUCGAGAGAAAUGUUUGUUAUGCUGGAUGGUACUAAAGAUGUGUUUUGAUUUGUUCGAAGACAAGAAAAGCUAUAUGCAAAAAGUUAAGGUGAUUAUGAAAAAAUUGUGAGGACAAAGCCAGAUAUUGUUGAAAAGAUAAAAUUGGAUGAAUGUUAUUGUAUGUUGUUGUAGCUAUAGACUUGUUCAACAUAAAACUGUUAACAAGGCGACGGAUUAAAUAUUUAUUGUCGUUACGUUUUGUGUUGGGAAAUUAUGUUCAUAUCAGGAAAUGGUAAUUUCGUCAAAUAAUUAUGGUGGCGAUCAUUAAUGCGUUAGAAAAACAAGAUACGUACGUGAUCAGUUCUGAGUUUUCGACAUUCUUUAAAUAAAUAUAUUUCGUCCUGCUAUGUACAAAUUUUCUUGCGUUCGCUAAUCGUGAAAAAAAUACGAUUCUAAAGAAACUAAGAAUGAUAAUCUUUUGGAAUUUGCUUCAUACGUGCAAGCCGUGUAAAGCCACAAAUGAAAAGUAUGAUCACAAGCUGGGUUCGAGUUGGUAGGGUAAUAUGAAUAAGCUGUGUAGAACUAAGUAUCUAUCAACAGUAAUGUAGAGAAAAGCAGCGAGUGGACAAGGGCAGUGGAAGAUCGACAAUUGGAAGGGGGGGUGUAAUAUUUAUACAUGUAUGCUCUACUGUGUUAGUUUCUAUUGAAAUAAAUUGUUAUUACGUAUUAUAUAAUAUGAAUAUAUGAAUAUGUCCCCCUCCUUAUCAUCAAUCUUCCUCUGCCCUUAUGAAUUGAAGGUAUUGAUGUAGUUCGAAGAAGUUUUUGUGUUGUAAAGUUAUCGAGAAAGCGUCUUUAGAACAAAUCACUUUUUUAAGUAUUGCUAGCUAAAACUGAGCCCAUUAUUUUGACUAUUGAUAAUUUUAACAACACACGUCAAGUAAUAAAGGAUUUUUUAUUUGAGACUAA